GAAGGGGAUAACACUUGGAAACAGGUGCUAAUACCGUAUAACAAUCGAAACCGCAUGGUUUUGAUUUGAAAGGCGCUUUCGGGUGUCGCUGAUGGAUGGACCCGCGGUGCAUUAGCUAGUUGGUGAGGUAACGGCUCACCAAGGCCACGAUGCAUAGCCGACCUGAGAGGGUGAUCGGCCACAUUGGGACUGAGACACGGCCCAAACUCCUACGGGAGGCAGCAGUAGGGAAUCUUCGGCAAUGGACGAAAGUCUGACCGAGCAACGCCGCGUGAGUGAAGAAGGUUUUCGGAUCGUAAAACUCUGUUGUUAGAGAAGAACAAGGAUGAGAGUAACUGUUCAUCCCUUGACGGUAUCUAACCAGAAAGCCACGGCUAACUACGUGCCAGCAGCCGCGGUAAUACGUAGGUGGCAAGCGUUGUCCGGAUUUAUUGGGCGUAAAGCGAGCGCAGGCGGUUUCUUAAGUCUGAUGUGAAAGCCCCCGGCUCAACCGGGGAGGGUCAUUGGAAACUGGGAGACUUGAGUGCAGAAGAGGAGAGUGGAAUUCCAUGUGUAGCGGUGAAAUGCGUAAAUAUAUGGAGGAACACCAGUGGCGAAGGCGGCUCUCUGGUCUGUAACUGACGCUGAGGCUCGAAAGCGUGGGGAGCAAACAGGAUUAGAUACCCUGGUAGUCCACGCCGUAAACGAUGAGUGCUAAGUGUUGGAGGGUUUCCGCCCUUCAGUGCUGCAGCUAACGCAUUAAGCACUCCGCCUGGGGAGUACGACCGCAAGGUUGAAACUCAAAGGAAUUGACGGGGGCCCGCACAAGCGGGGGAGCAUGUGGUUUAAUUCGAAGCAACGCGAAGAACCUUACCAGGUCUUGACAUCCUUUGACCACUCUAGAAGAUAGAGCUUCCCCUUCCGGGGGCAAAGUGACAGGGUG
rnacentral:rRNA from 1 species